AGUGUGUGGGCGCAGUGCCCUCGCUGCUGCUGCUCUCUGCCCCUCCAGUCUUUCCAACACCGUCUCCGUGCCGAUGACACCACUGUGGUGCUUAAUCUUACUGUCAGCCUGCUCAGUUGGAGAGACCCCUGGGAAAUUAGGAAAGUGCAUUCCGGGUGUGUCUCCUGUGCGCAGUGUGUCUGUGAGGGAGUCGGCAGAGGUGGUUGGCAUGGCUCCCUGAGAUGGGGGUGACCGCUGCCUGGAAUGUGGGUGGCUCCGUACAGCAGGCUGGGGGCCCUGAGGAGUUGGAAUGGAGGACGGAGGAAGCCCAGCAGCACAGCUUUCUCAGCCUUUCUGCUUCAGACCAGACCUUCACAAGGGGAGCAGGUUUCCUCCCCCUGCCCUCUCCGCCAGGAUCUGCCCAUAAGGUGGAGCCAGCCUGCCAGCACCUGAAGCCUGUGACCCUGUAAGCCAAAGAAAGCCUCUCUGCCUGUAAGCUGUGCUUGCAGGUGAUCUGCUCCAGUGACAGAAGGCUGACUCACAGUGUAGCCUUUUGUGAGGAUCCGGGCGACCACUUCUCCUGAGGGCCAGAUUUACAUCCUAAAUGACUGCGUGGAGGCUUGCUUGAGGAGCACAAGCAUAAAAUGCCACUGGCUUCUGGCUCCUCUUGGUGGCCUUCCCUCACCAGAGAACCCCGCAGAGCUCUGUGCAGUGUCUGUGGAGAUCAGAUCCUCUCAGGGCUCCCCAUCCUACCCAAAGCCUUGCUGUCUUCUGAGCCCCUCGAACCUGUCCUCUUGCCUCUCUUGUGGCCACCAACAUCACAAUGCCGUUCCCUUUAUGAUACCCGGGACCCAAAUGCCCUCCCUACCUCGUGUGUCCCUCUCUCUGCUCUCUCGGCCAGGGCCUCCCCUCCUCUGGCCUCCCCUCAGGCUUCUCAGCCUGUUGCUCUUUCUGCAGUGUCACCAGAAUGCACAGAUGUCUCUACUCUGGGGUCUUUGCUCUUGGGCUUCUGGACUCCCAGCAGGGAUAUGACUCAGCAGGGCAGGAGGUUUAUGCUGCUCGCUGCUCCCACAAGAAAGGAAAGAUGGUCUCUGCUCGUGGCAGCUUGAACAGUUCAAGGGAGCCACUUAGGGUUUUUCUCCACACUUCAUGGCUCCCCUGGCAGGUACUGUGAUCACAGGCUCUGCACCUCGUGGCCUGGGAGAAUGUGGGGGGCGAGAGGCAUGGCAGCCAGUGGUGGAGAACUGGAUAAGAACUAAGGUUGCUUUCCUGCAAACACAGUAGAAUCCAGUCAUUAUAAGGAAUCUGAAGCCAAUGGAAAACUGACAAGAGGUGCAUCUAGGAGUCAGAACGUGCCACAUCUUUCAGGUGCUGUAACCUAUGACCCACUUAGCACCAUCAGUCCAGAUGUCAGGGACCCAGCAGAGAAGGGAACGCUGUUACACGAUGAUACCUAUAAGGGAAUAAAAGCUGUUGCUUGGGAAAUGCAUGGCAUUUCUGGUCCCAAGACCAGUGAACAUUUGCAUGAAAAAGGAAGGGUUUUUUUUUCGUGUACAAAAUGCCCUCAAAAAAAUCUUUAAAAUAAACAAAAGAUACAUUUUGUUGACCUUU
rnacentral:lncRNA from 1 species